UACGGAGGGUGCAAGCGUUAAUCGGAAUUACUGGGCGUAAAGCGCACGCAGGCGGUCUGUCAAGUCGGAUGUGAAAUCCCCGGGCUCAACCUGGGAACUGCAUUCGAAACUGGCAGGCUAGAGUGUGUCAGAGGGGGGUAGAAUUCCACGUGUAGCAGUGAAAUGCGUAGAGAUGUGGAGGAAUACCGAUGGCGAAGGCAGCCCCCUGGGAUAACACUGACGCUCAUGCACGAAAGCGUGGGGAGCAAACAGG
rnacentral:rRNA from 1 species